rnacentral:snoRNA from 1 species
UGUUAUAGUGAUGUAAAAACCCUAGCGAUCCAGCUACUUUAUUGUGUUGAUCUUGUUUUAAGAGAGACGCAAGCCUGUUGGGUGUGAUUCUGCUUGUCAUAGUUACUCUGAUCAGAC